CCUCGGUGCCCGAGUUGUAAUUUGCAGAGGAUGCCUCGGUGCGUCCGCCGGCCCAGGUCCCUUGGAACAGGGCGCCGUGGAGGGUGAGAGCCCCGUAUCCGGCCGUGCGGGCGUGCCGUGUGAGGCUCCUUCGACGAGUCGAGUUGUUUGGGAAUGCAGCUCUAAGCGGGAGGUAAAUUUCUCCUAAGGCUAAAUACCGGCCAGAGUCCGAUAGCGCACAAGUAGAGUGAUCGAAAGAUGAAAAGCACUUUGGAAAGAGAGUCAAACAGCACGUGAAAUUGUUGAAAGGGAAGCGCUUGCGGCCAGACUCGCGGCGGCGGUUAGGUCGGGCGUCCCGCCCGGCUCAUUCCGCCGCGUCGGGCCAGCAUCGGUUCAGGCGGUCGGACAAAGGCCUGGGGAAUGUAGCUCCCUCGGGAGUGUUAUAGCCCCGGGUGCAAUGCGGCCUGCCUGGACCGAGGCUCGCGUUCUGCUAGGAUGCUGGCGUAAUGGCCRCAAGCGGGCCCGUCUUGAAACACGGACCAAGGAGUCGAGCAUCUGUGCGAGUGUUCGGGUGUCAAACCCGCGCGCGUAAUGAAAGUGAACGGAGGCGGGAGCCCUCGGGCGCACCGUCGACCGAUCCUGAUGUCUUCGGAUGGAUUUGAGUAAGAGCACAGCUGUCCGGACCCGAAAGAUGGUGAACUUUGCGUAAACAGGGCGAAGCCAGAGGAAACUCUGGUGGAGGCUCGCAGCGGUUCUGACGUGCAAAUCGAUCGUCAAAUUCGCGCAAAGGGGCGAAAGACUUAUCGAACCGUCUAGUAGCUGGUUCCUGCCGAAGUUUCCCUCAGGAUAGCAGCAACGUUUCCAGUUUUAUGAGGUAAAGCGAAUGAUUAGAGGCCUGGGGGUUGAAACAACCUUCACCUAUUCUCAAACUUUAAAUAUGUAAGAAGCCCUUGUCGCUUAAUUGGACGUGGGCGUUCGAAUG
rnacentral:rRNA from 1 species